CCCUCAUAGCUCAGUUGGUAAAGAAUUUGCCUGCAAAGCAGGAGACCCAAGUUCAAUUCCUGGAUCAGGAA
rnacentral:tRNA from 1 species